CUGCGAGUGAAGCGGGAAAAGCUCAAAUUUAAAAUCUGGCAGUCUCUGGCUGUCCGAGUUGUAAUCUAGAGAAGUGUUAUCCGCGUUGGACCGUGUACAAGUCUCCUGGAAUGGAGCGUCAUAGAGGGUGAGAAUCCCGUCUUUGACACGGACUGCCAAGGCUUUGUGAUGCGCUCUCAAAGAGUCGAGUUGUUUGGGAAUGCAGCUCAAAAUGGGUGGUAAAUUCCAUCUAAAGCUAAAUAUUGGCGAGAGACCGAUAGCGAACAAGUACCGUGAGGGAAAGAUGAAAAGAACUUUGGAAAGAGAGUUAAACAGUACGUGAAAUUGCUGAAAGGGAAACGCUUGAAGUCAGUCGCGUUGGCCAGGGAUCAACCUUGCUUUUGCUUGGUGUACUUUCUGGUCGACGGGUCAGCAUCAAUUUUGACUGUUGGAAAAAGAUCAGGGGAAUGUGGCAUCUUUGGAUGUGUUAUAGCCCUUGGUUGCAUACAAUGGUUGGGAUUGAGGAACUCAGCACGCCGCAAGGCCGGGUUUUACAACCACGUUCGUGCUUAGGAUGCUGGCAUAAUGGCUUUAAUCGACCCGUCUUGAAACACGGACCAAGGAGUCUAACAUGCCUGCGAGUGUUUGGGUGGAAAACCCGAGCGCGUAAUGAAAGUGAAGGUUGAGAUCCCUGUCGUGGGGAGCAUCGACGCCCGGACCAGACCUUUUGUGACGGAUCCGCGGUAGAGCAUGUAUGUUGGGACCCGAAAGAUGGUGAACUAUGCCUGAAUAGGGUGAAGCCAGAGGAAACUCUGGUGGAGGCUCGUAGCGAUUCUGACGUGCAAAUCGAUCGUCAAAUUUG
rnacentral:rRNA from 2 species